rnacentral:rRNA from 1 species
AACGAACGCUGGCGGCAGGCUUAACACAUGCAAGUCGAACGGGCACCUUCGGGUGUCAGUGGCAGACGGGUGAGUAACGCGUGGGAACGUACCCUUCGGUUCGGAAUAACCCAGGGAAACGUUGGGCUAACACCGGAUACGUCCGCAAGGAGAAAGAUUUAUCGCCGAAGGAUCGGCCCGCGUCGGAUUAGCUAGUUGGUGGGAAUGGCCCAUCAAGGCGACGAUCCGUAGCUGGUCUGAGAGGAUGAUCAGCCACACUGGGACUGAGACACGGCCCAGACUCUACGGGAGGCAGCAGUGGGGAAUAUUGGACAAUGGGCGAAAGCCUGAUCCAGCCAUGCCGCGUGAGUGAAGAAGG